rnacentral:lncRNA from 12 species
AAAACAAGCUAUUUAAUUGAGCUAUUAAAUUUCAGGUCUGCUUCCCACAGCUGCUGCUGGCUCAAUAUACAUUUUGCAAAAGAAAGGAUGCAAGGAUUCGGAGAAGGAGGCACCUUCGAGAAGCUGUAGACCCACCAAAAUGUUCCCCAGCUUGCUCACAUGUGCUAACCUCGGCCUCCACCCUGACCACACCCACCCCUCCUGUACCUUCUCAUCCAACAAGCCUGCACCUGUGAUCUGAACACACUCAGCGCUCACCCAGCACACACAUCUCCGCGUGCAAAACCCAACCAAACUGAUGGUGGACGCUGUGGGAAAGAGGCAGGAAUGGAGAAUGUGGUUAGCGAGAAGGCUGAGAGCACUUUGCAAACAUGAAUACAUGAUAAGACAUGAGUCCACAGGCGUGAGUAAAUCAGCAGGAACUUUCUCAGCUGGACUCUUCCUUGUUUUCUCCCUUGGCUCAUCAAGAACAGCAGGGAAGGGACUGGACUCCCCUUUCUUUCAAGCAUUACCUUACCAUCUGACUGCCACCCCUGGCACUUACAGUGGAAACUUGCCUCUUCCAUUUCUAACUAAAUAAAUAAUCUACUUUCAUUUUGGCGACUAGUCCAGUAUUUUUUUUUCCAUGAGGCUGGGUGAUGAGCCUUGCCCUGGUUUCUGAGAUCUCGUGUUCACGAGCCGUAAGCCAGGCCUCCUUUUUUUUCCCCUGGUUUUUUUCAAAGGAGAGGAAACCAAGGCAGGUAUUUAGCAAAGGUGGCCAAAAUGCUGAAGCUGUUGUUCUCAAAGUAUAUUCAACCAACCACUGACAUCAACAACAAUUUGAAGUGUGUAUUCAAAAUAACUUCGUCACCAACUCCCUACCAACCCCUGCCCCCGAGCCCCCGAGCCCCCGGGCCCCCACCUAAUCCGUGUCUUUGACAGCAGAGCCCAGGAAACUGCAUUUUUACUAAGUUCCCAGAGGACAGUCGUACAUUCUAAUCUGAAAGGCACUGGCCCAGACUGUCUGUAGGAAUCAGGCCAAGGACAGGACUUGAAGUCACAGACCUUCCGUCUACACUCCUCGGGGUAAGUAAGGAUAAAAUUAAUGCAGCAGGCAACCACGUGAAUGCUCUUUAGGCGUCUCCCAUCUGUAUCACAAGUAUUUGCUAAUUAUCUAUUAUGUGCAAAACCCAUGGCAGAAAGUAUUCAGAAAACCCCUCAAUUUAAAAAUUGCAUUAACCCCACUAUUUUUUUGUCUUCUAAAAUGAGGGAGCCAAAUAGAUGGAGUUGGAGGGUCUUCUAGCUCCAGUUUCUUACAUUUUGAAUUUGGCCAUGACCAUUUCCUAGGCAUACCUCAAAAAAAUUUUAAACACACCCAAAAACAACCUAACAGAUACCCACAUGUCAAAUGCUAAUAUCAAACACAUUUUUAACAUUUGGUAAUAUUUCCUUCAUACGUUUUUAAAAGAAACAAAUCUUUAUAAAUACAGUUGGAGUCCUCACUGCCAUCCCAUUUAGCUCCUUCCCUUCCUUCCUCCCCAGAAGUAAUGAUCCUAAAGCUAGUAUGUGUCCUUCACUGUGGUUUUAUUUAUUUUAAAACG